UACGUAGGGUGCAAGCGCUAAUCGGAAUUACUGGGCGUAAAGCGUGCGCAGGCGGUUUUGUAAGUCUGUCGUGAAAUCCCCCGGGCUCAACCUGGGAAUUGCGAUGGAGACUGCAAGGCUAGAAUCUGGCAGAGGGGGGUAGAAUUCCACGUGUAGCAGUGAAAUGCGUAGAGAUGUGGAGGAACACCAAUGGCGAAGGCAGCUCUCUGGACCGUUACUGACGCUGAGGCGCGAAAGCGUGGGGAGCAAACAGG
rnacentral:rRNA from 1 species